UUCAGUCGUUGGCCGAGCGGGCUAAGGCACGUCGACGCGAACUCGAGCGUGAGUUCAAAUCCCAUGGCUGAAA